CUGUGUCACUCAGGUGUGUUUCAAGUGGUGUUUUCCUGUGAAGUGGCACAUAAUUGUUGUUUGUGGUCCACAGUUUGGUAACAUGGAGUGAAAAACAGGCAGUAAGUAAGGAAUGAAACACUCCGUUGUGGGAAAAUAAGCAACAACAGCCACCCUGUGAUGAGGCAGAGUUACGGUUAUCACCCCAAAGUUGAUUAUUUUCCUUUCACAGCAUGUCCUGAAGUGUUUUAUUCCUAUUAUACUGGCCUCUGUGUCUUAGUCUCAGAGAAGGAGGUGUGGCCUCUGUGUCUUAGUCUCAGAGAAGGAGGUGUGGCCUCUGUGUCUUAGUCUCAGAGAAGGAGGUGUGGCCUCUGUGUCUUAGUCUCAGACAAGGAGGUUUGGUCUGUGUUUUAGUCUCAGAGAAGGAGGUGUGGCUUCUUAGUCUCAGACAGGGAGGUGUGGCCUCUGUGUCUUAGUCUCAGACAAGGAGGUUUGGUCUGUGUUUUAGUCUCAGAGAAGGAGGUGUGGCCUCUUAGUCUCAGAGAAGGAGGUGUGGCCUCUUUGUCUUAGUCUCAGACAAGGUGUGUCUGUUAGUCCUA
ensembl:lncRNA